rnacentral:lncRNA from 10 species
UUGGAGAGGUUUCUCUCCUGCUGAAGCAAAGGCAGCCAUGAGCACACAUUUAUAAAAAUCGCUGGCAUUAGACUUGUUUCUUUGGAGAAUUUUUGAGAUGUGCAAGUAUGACUGUAAUCAGCUGAAAUGCUGAAACCACACAAUUCAAAGUGAGGGACUGUUUUCUGGGAACUGAUUUUUUAUUUUAUUUUAGAAAAUUUGGCCGGGCACCGUGGCUCACGCCUGUUAUCCCAGCACUUUGGGAGGCCGAGGCGGGCGGAUCACCUGAGGUUAGGAGUUCGAGACCAGCCUGGCUAACACGGUGAAACCCCGUCCCUACUAAAAAUACAAAAUUAGCUGGAUGUGGUGGUCGGCACCUGUAAUCCCAGCUACUUAGCAGGCUGAGGCAGGAGAAUCACUUGAACCUGGGAGGCAGGGGUUGCAGUGAGCUGAGAUCACGACAUUGCACUCCAGCCUGGCUGACAAGAGCGAAACUCUGUCGAAAGAAAAGAAAGAAAGAAAGAAAGAAAGAAAGAAAGAAAGAAAGAAAGAAAGAAAGAAAGAAAGAAAGAAAGAAAGGAAGGAAGGAAGGAAGGAAGGAAGGAAGGAAGGAAGGAAGGAAGGAAGGAAGGGAGAGCGAAAGAAAGAAAGAAAGAAAGAAAGAAAGAAAGAAAGAAAGAAAGAAAGAAAGAAAGAAAGAAUUCGUGCUUCCCUAGGAGUCACCUAGUUCAGAGAAGGACAAAAAAACGGAAGCAGGAGCAAGCUCCUCAGCAAAGCUGACCCUUUUCCUAAUGGUUGUCCUAACAUUUUCCCUGAUUGCCGGAGGACGUAAAUUCAGUGAGCCUGGUGUAUUCGUUCACAGUUCCUCCUCAUUUCUACCACACGGAUAUUAGGACACACGUUUAAAGAUCAUUUCUAAAGGGCUGCUGAGUCCGGAGAUUGUGUAAUUUGACUAGGGGAUGUCGACCUCACCUUGGCUUAUAUGUUAAUGACAUAAUCAAUAGACCACAUGUUAAUAUAUUAAUGAUGCUGGUAACCGUGACUGCCCCUUCCAGAGGGCAACACGGCCGUCGGCUCAGGGAGCACAGUCCGUCUAUCCAAGCUUCCAGUGAAAGAAAGUGUUUACAGAGGCAUGUCUCAGUCUAAAGCAAACGUUUUCUGAACCUCGAUAGCUGAGCACUUGUCCCAGGCAGCCCUCUGGGAGGGGAACACGCGUGGAGCCGCUCUGGCCCAGGGGUCCAGCCGUCGGAGUCGGCAUCUGCUGCCAGGUUCCUUUCCUUACUGAGUCUUUUUUUUUUUUUUUUUUUUUUUUUUUUUUUUGAGACGGAGUCUCGCUCUGUCACCCAGGCUGGAGUGCGGUGGCGCCAUCUCGGCUCACUGCAAGCUCCGCCUCCCGGGUUCACGCCAUUCUCCUGCCUCAGCCUCCCGAGUAGCUGGGACUACAGGCGCCCGCCAUCACGCCCGGCUAAUUUUUUUGUAUUUUUAGUAGAGACGGGGUUUCACCGUGUUAGCCAGGAUGGUCUCGAUCUCCUGACCUUGUGAUCCGCCCGCCUCGGCCUCCCAAAGUGCUGGGAUUACAAGCGUGAGCCACCGCGCCCGGCCCCUCACUGAGUCUUUAGAAAGAAUGGAAAAAGCUUAAAAGCGUUUACUCUUCGAGGAUCCUUGACUGUACGGAAGCCUAUUUAAGGGUGCGUGCUCUGUAGCACUGAAGGGACACACCGUGUGCGUCCUCGAUGCGGAAGCGAUGGAGGCUGGCGAUCCUGACACGCGGGUGCGCCCGAGAGGGUGGGGCGGCCAGGAUGGGGGCGCCCGGAGGGGCCGUCCACGUCCAGAGGAGGGGUCCAUGGUUAACAGGGCCCCGGGCAGACAGGAUGGGGAUCUGGGUCCCCUUAGGAGAGUGAAGGUGGCAUUCUGGGAGGAGGGGCCGGCAGCCCGAUGCCCACUUGGCAGCAGCACCCUCCCCCAGCGCUCAGCAGGACAGGCCUCAGGGAGUCUCCUGAGCCGGCCACACAGAGCCAGGUAACG